UACGUAGGGUGCAAGCGUUGUCCGGAAUUAUUGGGCGUAAAGAGCUCGUAGGCGGUUUGUCGCGUCUGCUGUGAAAUCUUAGGGCUUAACCCUGAGCUUGCAGUGGGUACGGGCAGACUAGAGUGCGGUAGGGGAGACUGGAACUCCUGGUGUAGCGGUGAAAUGCGCAGAUAUCAGGAGGAACACCGGUGGCGAAGGCGGGUCUCUGGACCGUAACUGACGCUGAGGAGCGAAAGCAUGGGGAGCGAACGGG
rnacentral:rRNA from 1 species